rnacentral:rRNA from 1 species
GCUUACGGCCACACCGGCCUGAGUACGCCUGAUCUCGUCCGAUCUCGGAAGCUAAGCAGGGUCGGGCCUGGUUAGUACUUGGAUGGGAGACCGCCUGGGAAUUCCAGGUGCUGUAAGCU